rnacentral:rRNA from 1 species
UUGGAGGGCAAGUCUGGUGCCAGCAGCCGCGGUAAUUCCAGCUCCAAUAGCGUAUAUUAAAGUUGUUGCAGUUAAAAAGCUCGUAGUUGAAUUUCGAAAUUUUUUUAUCGGUUGAAUCAACAGGUUCGUACUGAUUUUAAGAAUUUCUACCUUCUGGAGAACCUUAAUGUCAUUUAUUUGAUGUUUUGGGAAACCAGGACUGUUACCUUGAAAAAAUUAGAGUGUUUAAAGCAGGCUUAUGUCUGAAUAUAUUAGCAUGGAAUAAUGAAAUAGGACGGCAUGGUUCUAUUUUGUUGGUUUCUAGGAUCACCGUAAUGAUUAAUAGGGAUAGUUGGGGGCAUUAGUAUUCAAUUGUCAGAGGUGAAAUUCUUGGAUUUAUUGAAGACUAACUUCUGCGAAAGCAUUUGCCAAGGAUGUUUUCAUUAAUCAAGAACGAAAGUUAGGGGAUCGAAGACGAUCAGAUACCGUCGUAGUCUUAACCAUAAACUAUGCCGACUAGGAAUCGGACGAAGUUAAUUUUUUAAUGACUCGUUCGGCGCCUUACGGGAAAC